GAGUUUGAUCAUGGCUCAGAGCGAACGCUGGCGGCAGGCCUAACACAUGCAAGUCGAACGGAUCCUUCGGGAUUAGUGGCGGACGGGUGAGUAACACGUGGGAACGUACCCUUAGGUUCGGAACAACACAGGGAAACUUGUGCUAAUGCCGAAUGUGCCCUUCGGGGGAAAGAUUUAUCGCCUUUGGAGCGGCCCGCGUCUGAUUAGCUUGUUGGUGAGGUAAAGGCUCACCAAGGCUUCGAUCAGUAGCUGGUCUGAGAGGAUGAUCAGCCACACUGGGACUGAGACACGGCCCAGACUCCUACGGGAGGCAGCAGUGGGGAAUCUUGCGCAAUGGGCGAAAGCCUGACGCAGCCAUGCCGCGUGAAUGAUGAAGGUCUUAGGAUUGUAAAAAUUCUUUCACCGGGGAAGAUAAUGACGGUACCCGGAGAAGAAGCCCCGGCUAACUUCGUGCCAGCAGCCGCCGCAGUAAU
rnacentral:rRNA from 1 species